rnacentral:rRNA from 1 species
GAUUAACGCUAGCGGCAGGCAUAAUACAUGCAAGUUGAACGAGAUUAGUUUUAGCAAUAGAACUAGUUUAGUGGCGCACGGGUGCGUAACGCGUAUGCAACCUACCUUAAACAGGGGAAUAGCCUCUCGAAAGAGAGAUUAAUACCGCAUAAUAUAUAUUUAAUGCAUAUUAGAUAUAUUAAACCUACGGGGGUUUAAGAUGGGCAUGCGUGACAUUAGCUAGUUGGUGAGGUAACGGCUCACCAAGGCAACGAUGUCUAGGGGGUCUGAGAGGAUGUCCCCCCACACUGGUACUGAGACACGGACCAGACUCCUACGGGAGGCAGCAGUAGGGAAUAUUGGUCAAUGGGGGGCAACCCUGAACCAGCCAUGCCGCGUGCAGGAAUAAGGCCCUAUGGGUCGUAAACUGCUUUUGAACGGGAGAAAUCUAUUUACGUGUAAAUAGUUGACGGUACCGUUAGAAUAAGGAUCGGCUAACUUCGUGCCAGCAGCCGCGGUAAU